ensembl:lncRNA novel transcript
ACAAGAGACUUACCCAGACAGGAGGAAAAGCUGUCAAGCAUGAGAGAACACAGAAAAUGUUUAAAGGUUCCAGCGGGGAGAGAGAGAAGUGACUUUCAGCAUGACAGAGCCUGGCCCAGUGCUUUGCACUGUAGCUGCUCAAUAAAUGUCUGCUGAACAAGCACAGGCCUGAGUAGUUCAUCCACUGGAUAGUCUCAGCAAAAGACCUGCAUAAUGGGGAGCACGAGCUGAGAACUGCUCCAGACUUGCCUCACAGACUGUCCCUUGCACACACACACACUCGAAGGUGCACCAGUACCUCUGCCAGCUGCAGCACCACGGUGUGAUCCAUAUUGAGCUCAGCUGGAACAGACUGAAUGAGAGAAGUCCAGAGUCCAGUUCACAGGACCUAGCCACCCUCACCUCCAUUCCGAUGCUUCAGCGCCAGGCACACUUCGAUAAUUUGGACACCUAGUUCGUAAUAGAAGUCCCCCACGCCCAGCA